ensembl:miRNA cin-mir-4019 cin-mir-4019
GGGUGCAUUGCGGAGCGAGCUGAGAUCGUACAGCCCGUUCCAACAAUGUUCCG